rnacentral:rRNA from 1 species
UAACACAUGCAAGUCGAACGAUGAACACCGGAGCUUGCUCUGGUGGGAUUAGUGGCGAACGGGUGAGUAACACGUGAGCAAUCUGCCCCCGACUCUGGGAUAACCCCGAGAAAUCGGAGCUAAUACCGGAUACGACACCUCCUGGCAUCAGGUGGGUGUGGAAAGAAUUUCGGUUGGGGAUGAGCUCGCGGCCUAUCAGCUUGUUGGUGAGGUAAUGGCUCACCAAGGCGACGACGGGUAGCCGGCCUGAGAGGGUGACCGGCCACACUGGGACUGAGACACGGCCCAGACUCCUACGGGAGGCAGCAGUGGGGAAUAUUGCACAAUGGGCGCAAGCCUGAUGCAGCAACGCCGCGUGGGGGACGACGGCCUUCGGGUUGUAAACCUCUUUUGGCAGGGAAGAAGCGAAAGUGACGGUACCUGCAGAAAAAGCACCGGCUAACUACGUGCCAGCAGCCGCGGUAAUACGUAGGGUGCAAGCGUUGUCCGGAAUUAUUGGGCGUAAAGAGCUCGUAGGCGGUGUGUCACGUCUGCUGUGAAAAUCCAAGGCUCAACCUUGGACUUGCAGUGGGUACGGCACACUCGAGUGCGGUAGGGGAGAUUGGAAUUCCUGGUGUAGCGGUGGAAUGCGCAGAUAUCAGGAGGAACACCGAUGGCGAAGGCA